GAGAGGAGCUGAGGCGCGAGGUCGCUUAUCUGGUGGACAGAACUAUUUAAUCAUCAUGUCCUGAAGAAAGAAAACAUUCUUCCAUUACCACACUCAGAGUGACAAGGAGGACCAGAGGACUGGCUGUCAGCUAAAGCCUGAACUGAGAGAGGGGUGAUUUUCAAAGUUUUAACUUCACCAAGCCUAUUUGAACAAGAGC